GAUCAUUCUUGAGAUAGUGAGGAUGAUUGACUUGAGAACUUAUAUAUAUAACAUCAUGUGGAGGAAUACAUGGCACGUCUGGAGUGCAUUCUCUUCGAUCGGUUUGUUUGUUCGAUGGGAAUUAGUCAAGCUGUCCCGACCUCGUGAAGGUUGUGUUUGGCAAACUAAAGAAAGUGGGCACGGUAGGUGUCAAGGGUAUAUAAUACAUCACUCACCCCGGCAGGGCUUCAACCGGGGAUUGCAAUUCAGGCUAUGUCCCGAAGCAUGCUUGCCAUGGGAUGGUUGUUUUACAUCAUGUGACAUGACUCUCGACAACGGAAAUUUAGGCUCUUGCAUCGAUGAAGAACGUAGCGAAAUGCGAUACUUGGUGUGAAUUGCAGAAUCCCGUGAACCAUCGAGCCUUUGAACGCAAGUUGCGCCUGAGACCUCUUGGUUGCGGGCACGCCCGCCUGGGUGUCACACCAUAUGUUGCUCCAUCCAGCCAAUCCAUGUGAUUUGUUAGAUGGAAGCGGAUACCGGUUCUCCGUCAUUUAGAGCCGUGGUGAGCUGAAGUAAGAGACGCCGACGGGGUAAGAGUAUAUAACAUGUGGCGGGCGGAAGAUUACUUCUUAUUUGGCCGAUGUCAUUCGCUCCUUGUCGAAUCAUUGCUCUUAGCAUGUUGAAGGGGCCCUU
rnacentral:sRNA from 1 species